rnacentral:rRNA from 1 species
UGCAGUCGANCGGCAGCGCGGGGCAACCUGGCGGCGAGUGGCGAACGGGUGAGUAAUAUAUCGGAACGUGCCCUGGAGUGGGGGAUAACGCAGCGAAAGUUGCGCUAAUACCGCAUACGAUCUAAGGAUGAAAGCGGGGGAUUCGCAAGAACCUCGUGCUCCUGGAGCGGCCGAUAUCUGAUUAGCUAGUUGGUGGGGUAAAGGCCUACCAAGGCAUCGAUCAGUAGCUGGUCUGAGAGGACGACCAGCCACACUGGAACUGAGACACGGUCCAGACUCCUACGGGAGGCAGCAGUGGGGAAUUUUGGACAAUGGGCGCAAGCCUGAUCCAGCAAUGCCGCGUGAGUGAAGAAGGCCUUCGGGUUGUAAAGCUCUUUUGUCAGGGAAGAAACGGUGCGGGCUAAUAUCCUGCACUAAUGACGGUACCUGAAGAAUAAGCACCGGCUAACUACGUGCCAGCAGCCGCGGUAAUACGUAGGGUGCAAGCGUUAAUCGGAAUUACUGGGCGUAAAGCGUGCGCAGGCGGUUUUGUAAGUUUGUCGUGAAAUCCCCGGGCUCAACCUGGGAAUUGCGAUGAAGAUUGCAAGGCUAGAAUCUGGCAGAGGGGGGUAGAAUUCCACGUGUAGCAGUGAAAUGCGUAGAGAUGUGGAGGAACACCGAUGGCGAAGGCAGCCCCCUGGGUCAAGAUUGACGCUCAUGCACGAAAGCGUGGGGAGCAAACAGGAUUAGAUACCCUGGUAGUCCACGCCCUAAACGAUGUCUACUAGUUGUCGGGUUUUAAUUAACUUGGUAACGCAGCUAACGCGUGAAGUAGACCGCCUGGGGAGUACGGUCGCAAGAUUAAAACUCAAAGGAAUUGACGGGGACCCGCACAAGCGGUGGAUGAUGUGGAUUAAUUCGAUGCAACGCGAAAAA